GUGCUUGCUUUGGCAUCACAUAUACUAAAAUUGGAAUGAUACAGAAAAGGUUAGCAUGGCCCCUGUGCAAGGAUGACACAAAUUCAUGAAGUGUCCCACAUUAAA
ensembl:snRNA U6 U6 spliceosomal RNA